GUCUGUGCUCGAUGGACAAACGCCGUUCCUGUACUCCUAGGAGAAGCAGGGACUUGUUGACUCCAGGGCGACGUGGGGGAACUCAGUGACCUCACAGAGAGGUCCUCAGGGCUCAUGAACACACCCGUCUAUGACAUCAGCUGUGACCUCACACACAGCAGGGGCAGUGUCUUCCUUGGAUUCUCGUGGACUCAGAAAGCUAGUGCCAGAGGUAGGGAGCUUGAAAUGUCCUGUCCGCCCCACAUGCCACCUCUCCUCUUGCCCUGAGUCGUAUGUCAGUUCCCAUCAAAGUGAAGGAGUGAGUCUGACCGGCUCCCAGGUGUUUGGAAGACAUGUUGGAGAAGGAAGACAAUGUCCUUGGGAAAGGUGGAGAAUGAGUUCGAAGUCAGGAAAGCUCGACUCUUCAAGGGAUUGAGGUGGAAGACCCAGGGGACCCAGGGUGUCCCGCCCUCCCAUUCACCAGGCAAUGAACUCUGCCCCUCCAAGGAGCAUGCCUCUAAGGUCUGCCUGUGCGGAUGCAGCCUGAGGACAAAAGCGGUCCUCCACCCCAGGCCAGAGCCAGCCUCGUUUCCGGCCUCCCGGAUGCUGCCCAGCUUGCCAGCCGAGAGGAAGCCACCGGUUCCCAGGGUGAUGGUCCUUCCUACUCAGUUCUCCCACAGCUCCACGAAGUUGAAAACGGAGGGCAAACCCCAGCUGCUAGCUUGGCGAGAUCCGGUGCCGCUGCGCCAGGUGGUGCCUAUGAGCGUGUGGCCCAAAGGCUUUAUCGACCCAUUCCCUAAACCUCUGCCAGAGCAAUCUCUGAGUACCUUCAUCCACGUCGAAGGGGUUCACAUCCCCAGGGCAGAUUCUCCGGUGAUGUCACUUGUGGAAAAUGCCGAGUCCUCUCUGCCACCUUUACUGAAGUGAAUAUGUUUAGUCAGUUAUGAUUUUUCUCUGCCUAAUGUAAACAUGUAAAACUGUUUAUUUUAACUGAGGACAUAUUUAUAUCCUCAUUGUGAACCCAGUUGGGACUUUCAGAAUUCUGUAGUACAGUGUGUCUUUCAAAAUAUAUUUUUAUUUAUCUUUA